rnacentral:lncRNA from 1 species
GUACAAAAAUUGUAUACAUGAUUUGAAAUGAAAUUAGUUCAAAACCUAGAUACACUGUCCAUAUUCGGGGGUAAAAAUUGACAUGCUAAUGAGAUUUAACUAAUUUAACAUAGUGAGAACCUUAUUUAGCUCAAUUUGUUUAGAUCAUAAACAAGUUAGACAUUAAAUAAAUGUUUUGAUGUUGGCAUUCCAUGAAGCAAGCAUUUAGACAAAGUAAUUUAGUGGCUUUGUACUGAUUGCUAUAUUGCUGUGACUCAGGCAUAUCAAGAAAUUGAAUCCCCUUAGUACCUACGUACAUACCUUCAGCAUAUUUAAAAGAAGCCAUCAUGAGUUGCUUACCUUUUUGCUUCUUUACAAAAAUACCUCAUUGUUAUGGAGGUUAACUAAAAACGCUAUCAGAUAUGACUGCCGAUAAGAAAAAUAUUGAUAGACAAAGGCAAAGAAAAUUUAGAAAGAAAUAUUUCUAAAAUACUUGGAUAGAAUGUCCCCAACUUCAUCUGACCCUGUCAUAGAUUCCACUCACCAAGAGGCUUACCAAUUUCCUAAAGAAAAUUAGGAAAGAGGUAAAAUACAGAGUCACUGCUGUGAAUGGCUGCUAGGACAGCAUUACUGCUAUGGCAGAGAUCAUCGAUACUACUUAGAAAUGAAAGAGCCUACUUUUCACUUUAGAUGAUUUAUAUGCCAAAAAUAUUCUUGGCUAUAGGAAUGUGAUGUCAAGAAGCUGAUGACAGCAUUUGAAAAUGUGAAUUGAGGCUCAACAUGAUCUUUUAGCAGCCAGGUUGCUGGUUGGAAAAUUAACCAAUUUUCUUUCUUUUUUAAACACAUAUAAUGUCCUUAGUUAAAUAGCUAUAGGUUACAAAUGGUUUAUGUAGGACUUAGCUUAUUUUAAAAAAUCUAUUUCAGGAAUUCCCGCUGUAGCACAAUGGGAUCAGUGGCAUCUCUGCAGUGCUGGGACACAGGUUCAAUCCUCAGCCCUGCACAGUAGAUUAAGGAUCCAAUGUUGCUGCAGCUGCAGCCUAGACUGAAAUGACAGCUCAGAUCUGAUCCCCGGCCUGGGAACUCCAUAUGACACAGCGAGGCUAAAAAAGAAAAAAAGCAAUUUCAAAGUAUAAACAAAAUAAUCUUUUUUUGGAUUAUUAUCGUUUACAAUGUUGUGCCAAUGUCAUGCUGUACAGCAAGGUGACCUAGUCAUGUUAUUUUUCUCGUAUUAUCUUCCAUCAUGUUCUGUCUUAAGAAAUUGGAUAUAGUUCUCUGUGCUAUACAGUAGGACCUCAUUGCUUAUCCAUUCUAAAUGUAAUAGUUUGCAUCUCCUAACCCUAAAAUCCCAGUCCAUCCCACUCCCUCUCCCUCCUUCACAACCACAAGUCUGUUCUCUGUGUCUGUGAGUCUGUUUCUGUUUUGCAAAUAGGUUCACUUGUCCCAUAUUUUAGAAUCCACUUAUAAGUGAUACCAUAUGGUAUUUGUCUUUUUCUUACUUUACUUACUUUGAGAAUUUCUAGUUGCAGCAGCAAAUGGCAUUAUUCUGUUCUCUUUAUGGCUAAGCAGCGUGUGACCACUGAUGAUAUAGAGAUGAAGGAUGAUUUCCAAAAUCAAAGAGUAUAAAGAAGGCAGAGGAAGAAUUUAAUAGAGCAUUUGCUACAUCACGGUAUAGAUAAGCAUGAGGUGCUAGCAGAAGCAUUUUAAAUGGGACAUCCAAAUCAGCUGGGAGUAAGGAGCCAGCCCAGAAGGUUUACAAAAAGGGAAGUUUCUUGCUAUAAUCUCUGAAUAGUGAGUUGGAUGAUGAAGUAAAUGGAGGAAAGGUAUGCUUGGCAGAGGAAAAAUAUUUGCAAAUGCAUAGUCAUGAGGGUGCGUGGCUCAUGAAGGGAUAUGCAGGCAGCUCUGAAUUGCUAGAAUAUAUAACACUGUGCUGGGGUGGCAGGUAGACAGGGAUCAUAUGGCAUGCUAAGAAAUUUAUUUUCUGCUCAUCUUUAUUGCAACAUAAUCGCCUUCUUUAGUAAAAAACAAACAAACAAACAAAAACAAAAGGGAUAGAUUUCAGAUAGAUCCCAGACAUAGCUCUAGAAAUACUUUACUAUUGGAUAUGAGGGAAAAAAAAAAUUGAAAAACAUACAGCAUUUCAGACUGACCCUAGCAAAGUUGCGCCACAUUAGCAAAUCAUUUGGCUAAUGAAUUUUGUUUGAUCUGUUUGUAGACUUCCCACUGACCACAAGAGCACUCAAACUGUGUUGAGACAGGACACAUCUAUCACAAUCCCUGGGGUAAUCCUUGCUUAUUUAGCGGCACUCCAUUUCUCUUUCCUGCUCUCCCUCCCCAUCUCAUGCUUUAGGGCCCCAUAUUUUCUGAAAAUUCUGCUGGAAUGUGAGUCCAGUGCCAGUACAUCUGGGGAUCCUUAGUAAUGAAUGAGGGCCUUAAAAGAAGCAGCAGAAAUACAGAGGAGCAUACUUUUUGCACAGUCUGGAAAGACCAAUGGGAUGAAGGGGAAGUGACUUAAGUCCUGAGAUAUGCUUUCAUUUUUUUCAUCUAGUCACAAAUCUGACCUCUCCUGCACUACUGAGAAUGCCCUGGUCACCACACCAAGCAGAUGUCUGAAAUGUGGGUGGUAUGGGGGACCAAUGUCUUCUAUGUGUUUUCUUUGCGACUACUAACACGUUAAGUAUGUUAUCACUAGAUGUACCACAUUUCCGAGGCUGAGAUCUGGACACUAAGGUCACACAAACCAAAGAUGUGUCAUCUAGAUCAUAAUUUCCUCCCUUUCCAAUCUUCUAGCAAAGCAUUUAAGUAUAAUUUUUGAUAGAAAUAUAUCAUAAGCCAAUGAGUAUGUCUUUCUCUAUGCCUUGAGGUUCAGUAGACAAAAAUGUUCUUUGUCCUUUGUGUGCUGACCUUCCCUUCCUUCUACCACACAAUAAUAAUUUAAAUUUGUUCAUGGGGGUAGGAGGCUGAGAAAACCACGUGUGUAUUGAGAUAUUGAUUAUUUUUUGGAAAAGUGUUGUAUUUUAAUAAACAACAUGUGGUCAUAUAAUUGCUAUUAUCCAACGCUAAAAAUAAGAAUACUCUCCAAGUUGGGGCUUUUCAACCCAAUCGUCUUGUGAAUGCCUGAAAUAAAUGAGUAACCCUGGAUAUUGUAAUUUCAUCUGUCAGGAAGUCAGGCAAUAAUUCUCCCAGAUUAACCCUAUGAUUAUGUUAGAGACUCUGAGAGUGCUUCAAAUUCUCUCAAACAUUGUCCCGAUAUGUGGAACUCAGAAAUAACAUCCUAAGUGUACUUAGAGUGCUCUUUGUAUGAAGAAAUUUUUUGCGAGAUCUGGUUUAUCAAGUGAACAUUCCAAAUCAAUAAAAAUGAAACAUGGGCAUGAAGCAGAGAUCCCUACUUAUUUUAUGCAUCAUAUAAAUAUCAGCUUAAAAUUCCUAGAGAAGAGGGGUUCCCACUGUGGCACAAUGGGAUCAGCAGCAUCUCUGCAGCACCAGGACACAGGUUUGAUCCUCACCCUGGUACAAUGGAUUAAAGGAUCUGGUGUUGCCACAGUUGCAGUGUAGAUUGCAAUUGUGGCUCAGAUCUGAUCCCUAGCCUGGGAACUCCACGUGCUUCAGGGCAGCAAAAAAAUGAAAAAUUAUGAAUAAAAAAUUUUAAAAAUACCUAGAGAAGGAAUCAAACUAAAAAAUGGGAAAGAAUAAGGAUAGUAAAAUAACUGAUUAUGUGAGAUAAAUCCUAUUCCUUUCUCUUAGUAGCAGAUAAGCUUAGCAACUUAUGCAAACUUAUUUCUCACUAACUCAUCCAAAUCUCAGGAGUUGAAGCCCUUCAUCCUGUUGCAUGUAUAACCUGCAUCUUAGCCCUUCCAUCUCUCAGUAGCAUAGAGUAUCAUUAUUCUAGUCCAAGACUCUUCUCAGACUUUCUGUUUAUUUUCCUCUAAGACAGAAAUAAAUUGAGUUACUUAGGUGGAGUUCAGAGUUUGAACUCUGAACCACCUCUUCCUCCUACUUUCCUAAUCAAAAUGUUCCUUAGGUUUUGAUUCAAUCUCUGUGGCUAUUGCUACUGAGGAAACCUCUUGCUCCAACCUUCUGGGUGGUUUUUUGAGAUCAUGCUUCAUCUCAAAUGAUUUCUUUUCCUCCUUCUCCACACCUGGAGGAUAAAAUGCUGCCUGCCUUUUUUAUGAUUCUAAAUUUAAAUGGUAACAUUUUAUAUUUUCAAGCAAUAUUUAUACAGAGAUUAAAGUAGUUCUUUCUUAAACAGAAACUAAGAGUCUUUUCACAAAAAAUGAAUACUGAAGAUAAUAUUUUGCUAUGCUUUUUUUCUAUCUUCUCACCAAUAAAGGAGCAAUAUUUUCAAUUUUAUCAGCUUCCAUCAAUUGUUUCCUCAAAAUCAGAACAGAAUAUGGCAAGUGGCCAUUUGAUUAUUAGUCUAGCCUAAUUCCUAGAAGAAUAAGAUAAUUAAACAAGAUUAUCAAAGCAUAAAGUUUGCAGGUCUUAUACUAAAAGAAAUCAACCAAGAGAGUAAACAUUAGCUCAAUUAAGUAAUUGUUGGAACAAUGGGUUAUUUACAUUAUAUAUAAUUUGAAUGUUGCAUCGAUGAUUUGCUUAUGCUAAUAAGAUGACAUUUAUGAUUUAUGAAACAAAAGGGAAAAUUUUUAAUCAAGAAACUUGCUGUGUUCUUGAUACUCUUGCAAGAAGCCCUGACUCCAGGAAACCCAAAUUCUUUUAAGCCUUCCUAAUACGAAACCACGAGGCAUACAUAUUAGCAAGAAAUAGGAAAUUUCACCUUGAAUCUCAUAAUAUUACAGUUGUCCCUUAGCAUCCACAGGGACUUGGUUCUAGGACCCCCCACAGAUGCCAAAAUCCGAGGAUGCUCAUAUGAAAUAGCUUAGUACAGUUGAGCCUCUGAUUGGUGGGUUCCACAUCUGUGGAUACAGAGGGCCUACUGUCCAUCUUUUAAACAUUGUAUUAUUUUUAAUAGAUAAUGCAUGCACCUAUUGCAAAUUAUAAAAUGCUUAAAAGGAUUUCCAUGGAAACUAAAUAUUCUUCUUUUCUCUGUUCUCAAUAACCCUGUCUACCCUCCCCUGGGUAAAUUUUGUUACAUAUUUCUUGGGUAUACUUCUAAGAGAAGGCAAGAAGGCAAGAUAACAUAUAUACAUGCACACACACACAUCUUCAGGGUUCUCAUUUCUAAAUCCAUGAUAUUAUAAGUGAAAAAUGACUCCAACUCAAGGAACAUUUAAAAUUCGCAAGUGUUUACAUUUGGGUACAGAAAUAUUUACCAACAUUGACCUAAACUAUAAUCUUAAAAGAAGGUCUUUUCUAAACAGCAGUUUGAAAGUAUAUUAAGUUUUCAUAGCUAUCUGAACAUCAAUAUUUGAAUUUUCAAUGUAAAGGAAAAUGUUAUGCUAUAGAAAGUAUAGAAAAUAAUAAAAGGCACACAUCAUCUAUUUAUCAUACUUGAUAUGGGGAGAAAGGAUACUUGUUUUGCAAAGACCAAGAGGAUACACGAAGCAAAGAAAACUGCAAAGCUACGCAUUGCCAGAAAGACACAGGUGUACACCACAUGAGGAUCUGAAACAAGCCAGCUGUAAUGGGUGUGCUGACAGCUCCAAGUCCACACUGUGUUUCUCCCAAAGUGCACUGGUGUGUUUGUUAUGUGUUACUUUACUUUUUUUAAUACAGUUUUAGAAAUUCUUAAGCCCACCCCCAAGCACAGUGGCAAAGAUCUAGGAGUGAAGAUAAACAUGCCUGGAAAUAGUUUUUGUCAGUGAGUCUCUUACUCAGACUCAUGUUGAUCUUAGGGAAGCAAUACCCCACUUAGACCCAUGUCUCUCUGGGUGAUACCACUGAGUUCAAUUCCACAUCUCAUGCAGAUGAGGCAUUGUCUGCAUAAAGCAUAUGCAAGAGGUAUGUUUAAACUUCACAACAAUUCUAUAAGCAGUGUUUCCCAUCUUACCUUAUCAUAUACUCGACAGGAGAGUAUUCAUUAAAAAUAUAGAUUCCUGGACCACAUGCAGUCCUACAGAACUAGUCUUUAUGGGCAGUCUGUGAAUAAGCAAUUUUUAAAGAAACCCCACAAGAUUUUUUAAGAUCAGAUAAGGAGGAAAAUGCUUCUGAAGGUAGGAAUUAUAUCCAUCUUAUCAAGGAGGAAACUGAGGCUCAGUUAAGUAACUUGUAACAACAAAUUAGUUUUGGAGAUGUGGUAUAUAUACACAAUGGAAUACUACUCAGCCAUAAAAAAGAACAAAAUACUGCCAUUUACAGCUACAUGGAUGGAACUAGAGACUCUCACACUGGGGGAAGUCAGAAAGAGAAAGACAGAUGCCACAUGAUAUCACUUAUAUCUGGAAUCUAAUAUACAGCACAAAUGAGCCUUUCCACAGAAAAGAAAAUCAUGGACUUGGAGAACAGAAUUGAGGUUGCCGAGGGGGAGGGAGUAGGAUGGAUUGGGAGCUUGGGGUUAAUAGAUGCAGACUAUUGCCUUUGGAAUGGAUUAGCAAUCAGAUCCUGCUGUGUAGCACUGGGAACUAUGUCUAGUGACUUAUGAUGGAGCAUGAUAAUGUGAGAAAAAAGAAUGUACACUUGUAUGUGUAACUGGGUCACCAUGCUGUAGAGUAAAAAAAAAAAAA